UGCUAACAACGACCACGCACAUUUUAAAAUCAAAGUUUGACAACGUUUAUACUAUAAAUACACAACUCGAACUCAUCCAAAAAGAACAACAACAUUUUAAGAAAAACAAUCAAGUUAAUUUAAAAGAGGAAAUAUGUCUUCUGAAUGCCAAGGUCAUGGGAAGAAUGCGUGGCCAGAACUAGUAGGGAGAGAUGGGCACGAGACAGCAAGAAUCAUAGAAAGUGAAAAUCCCGACGUGCAAGCCACAGUUUUACCGGUUGGAUCUAUGGUCACACUGGAUUUUAGGUGUGAUCGGGUUUGGGUUUGGGUCGAUUCAUACAACAAUGUGAACGCUAUCCCUAGAAUCGGUUAAGCUAUGGUGUUAGCCUAAUUGUACUACUUGAUUUAGCCUUGAGACUUCCAGUUUAUUCGUCUAUUUUGUGUAGUAUAUAAUCAAAUAAAUGUUUUGAGGCCUUUUAUGUAAAUAAAACCACUCCAUCAAUAAAUAAAGUAUUAGACCCUUGGUGUUGAUCUAAA